rnacentral:rRNA from 1 species
GCUGGAGGUAUCAGAAGUGCGAAUGCUGACAUAAGUAACGAUAAAGCGGGUGAAAAGCCCGCUCGCCGGAAGACCAAGGGUUCCUGUCCAACGUUAAUCGGGGCAGGGUGAGUCGACCCCUAAGGCGAGGCCGAAAGGCGUAGUCGAUGGGAAACGGGUUAAUAUUCCCGUACUUGGUGUUACUGCGAAGGGGGGACGGAGAAGGCUAUGUUGGCCGGGCGACGGUUGUCCCGGUUUAAGCGUGUAGGUGUGUGUUCCAGGUAAAUCCGGUUCACUUUAACACUGAGGCGUGACGACGAGGCACUACGGUGCUGAAGCAACAAAUGCCCUGCUUCCAGGAAAAGCCUCUAAGCAUCAGGUAACAUCAAAUCGUACCCCAAACCGACACAGGUGGUCAGGUAGAGAAUACCAAGGCGCUUGAGAGAACUCGGGUGAAGGAACUAGGCAAAAUGGUGCCGUAACUUCGGGAGAAGGCACGCUGACAUGUAGGUGAAGUGAUUUACUCAUGGAGCUGAAGUCAGUCGAAGAUACCAGCUGGCUGCAACUGUUUAUUAAAAACACAGCACUGUGCAAACACGAAAGUGGACGUAUACGGUGUGACGCCUGCCCGGUGCCGGAAGGUUAAUUGAUGGGGUCAGCGCAAGCGAAGCUCCUGAUCGAAGCCCCGGUAAACGGCGGCCGUAACUAUAACGGUCCUAAGGUAGCGAAAUUCCUUGUCGGGUAAGUUCCGACCUGCACGAAUGGCGUAAUGAUGGCCAGGCUGUCUCCACCCGAGACUCAGUGAAAUUGAACUCGCUGUGAAGAUGCAGUGUACCCGCGGCAAGACGGAAAGACCCCGUGAACCUUUACUAUAGCUUGACACUGAACAUUGAGCCUUGAUGUGUAGGAUAGGUGGGAGGCUUUGAAGUGUGGACGCCAGUCUGCAUGGAGCCGACCUUGAAAUACCACCCUUUAAUGUUUGAUGUUCUAACGUGGACCCGUUACCCGGGUUGCGGACAGUGUCUGGUGGGUAGUUUGACUGGGGCGGUCUCCUCCUAAAGAGUAACGGAGGAGCACGAAGGUUGGCUAAUCCUGGUCGGACAUCAGGAGGUUAGUGCAAUGGCAUAAGCCAGCUUGACUGCGAGCGUGACGGCGCGAGCAGGUGCGAAAGCAGGUCAUAGUGAUCCGGUGGUUCUGAAUGGAAGGGCCAUCGCUCAACGGAUAAAAGGUACUCCGGGGAUAACAGGCUGAUACCGCCCAAGAGUUCAUAUCGACGGCGGUGUUUGGCACCUCGAUGUCGGCUCAUCACAUCCUGGGGCUGAAGUAGGUCCCAAGGGUAUGGCUGUUCGCCAUUUAAAGUGGUACGCGAGCUGGGUUUAGAACGUCGUGAGACAGUUCGGUCCCUAUCUGCCGUGGGCGCUGGAGAACUGAGGGGGGCUGCUCCUAGUACGAGAGGACCGGAGUGGACGCAUCACUGGUGUUCGGGUUGUCAUGCCAAUGGCACUGCCCGGUAGCUAAAUGCGGAAGAGAUAAGUGCUGAAAGCAUCUAAGCACGAAACUUGCCCCGAGAUGAGUUCUCCCUGAGACUU